UUAACACAUGCAAGUCAACUUGAACUUCGGUUUGGGUGGCGGACGGGUGAGUAACGCGUAAAGAACUUGCCUCACAGAUAGGGACAACAUUUGGAAACGAAUGCUAAUACCUGAUAUUAUGAUUUUAGGGCAUCCUAGGAUUAUGAAAGCUAUAUGCGCUGUGAGAGAGCUUUGCGUCCCAUUAGCUAGUUGGAGAGGUAACGGCUCACCAAGGCGAUGAUGGGUAGCCGGCCUGAGAGGGUGAUCGGCCACAAGGGGACUGAGACACGGCCCUUACUCCUACGGGAGGCAGCAGUGGGGAAUAUUGGACAAUGGACCAAGAGUCUGAUCCAGCAAUUCUGUGUGCACGAUGAAGUUUUUCGGAAUGUAAAGUGCUUUCAGUUGGGAAGAAAAAAAUGACGGUACCAACAGAAGAAGUGACGGCUAAAUACGUGCCAGCAGCCGCGGUAAUACGUAUGUCACAAGCGUUAUCCGGAUUUAUUGGGCGUAAAGCGCGUCUAGGUAGUUAUAUAAGUCUGAUGUGAAAAUGCAGGGCUCAACUCUGUAUUGCGUUGGAAACUGUGUAACUAGAGUACUGGAGAGGUAAGCGGAACUACAAGUGUAGAGGGUGAAAUUCGUAGAUAUUUGUAGGAAUGCCGAUGGGGAGCCAGCUUACUGGAC
rnacentral:rRNA from 1 species